rnacentral:rRNA from 1 species
UACGGGGGGGGCAAGCGUUGUUCGGAAUUACUGGGCGUAAAGGGCUCGUAGGCGGCCAACUAAGUCGGAUGUGAAAUCCCCAGGCUUAACCUGGGAACUGCAUCCGAUACUGGAUGGCUUGAAUCCGGGAGAGGGAUGCGGAAUUCCAGGUGUAGCGGUGAAAUGCGUAGAUAUCUGGAGGAACACCGGUGGCGAAGGCGGCUUGCUGGGCCUUACCUGACGCUGAGGAGCGAAAGCGUGGGGAGCGAACAGG